UUGAACGCUGGCGGAAUGCUUUACACAUGCAAGUCGAGCGGCAGCGCGGGGGCAACCCUGGCGGCGAGCGGCGAACGGGUGAGUAAUACAUCGGAACGUACCCAGUUGUGGGGGAUAGCCCGGCGAAAGCCGGAUUAAUACCGCAUAAGUCCUGAGGGAGAAAGCGGGGGACCGUAAGGCCUCGCGCGAUUGGAGCGGCCGAUGUUCGAUUAGCUAGUUGGUGGGGUAAAGGCCUACCAAGGCGACGAUCGAUAGCUGGUCUGAGAGGACGACCAGCCACACUGGAACUGAGACACGGUUCAGACUCCUACGGGAGGCAGCAGUGGGGAAUUUUGGACAAUGGGGGCAACCCUGAUCCAGCCAUUCCGCGUGAGUGAGGAAGGCCUUCGGGUUGUAAAACUCUUUCGGCAGGAACGAAACGGUGAGCUCUAACAUAGCUUGCUAAUGACGGUACCUGAAGAAGAAGCACCGGCUAACUACGU
rnacentral:rRNA from 1 species